UACGGGGGGGGCAAGCGUUGUUCGGAAUUACUGGGCGUAACGGGCUCGUAGGCGGCCAACUAAGUCAGACGUGAAAUCCCUCGGCUUAACCGGGGAACUGCGUCUGAUACUGGAUGGCUUGAGAUUGGGAGAGGGAUGCGGAAUUCCAGGUGUAGCGGUGAAAUGCGUAGAUAUCUGGAGGAACACCGGUGGCGAAGGCGGCAUCCUGGACCAACACUGACGCUGAGGAGCGAAAGCCAGGGGAGCAAACGGG
rnacentral:rRNA from 1 species